UUCAACCAUCUCAAAAUGAAAAUGUAAAAGGAUCAAAAUAAGGUAAAAACGGUAAUUUUAUUAAUUCAAAAUACCAAUAUCGAAUACAUAAAACGUGAUAGAUUGAUCAAUAUCGGAUAUUACCAAUUUAUCAUACACUUCCCCUAUCUUUCAAACUUUCACCCCUCGAAACUUCACUUUGCCAAAAUAGAUUUUAAAACUUUAGCAAAAGGAUACAUAAAUCGUGAUACAUUGAUCAAUAUCGAAUGUUAUUAAUUUAUCAUAAACUUCCCCUUAAUCUUUCAAACUUUCACCCCUCAAAACUUCUCUUUACCGAAAAAGAUUUUGAAGCUUUGGCGCCAAAGAACAUGGCUUCGGCCAAAGCAACCAGCAGUAACAGGAGCUGAAUUUUCAGCACAUUGGCAAACGACUAUAGUGCAGAUAUAUUUAAUUCUUUCCCCAGCAAAGUCUACUGCUGCUUCUCUAUAAUUGUUCAUGGAAUCCUGCAAUGUUGUCUCCCUCAUCCAGUGCUUUAAGAGAUGGACUUGCUGACCUGAGAAGUGCAGCCAUGAGGAAGGUGAGAGCAGGGACAGAAUUCUGAACAGCCGAG